GAUAAUUUGUGGGAUUAUGAGAGCUUCUAAGUGUUUUAACCGUGAUGAAGCACACAAACAAAGUAAAAAGGAGUGAAGUAACCGUAAGUAUUUGAGAGAGAAGAGAAAUUUGAGAAUUUAAGAGAAUGAGAGGAUUUGUGAGAUUGAGAGAAUGAAAGAAAUGUUUGUAUUGAAUUGUAUGUUUAAUUGUGUAACAUACAUGGUGUAUUUAAAGGAAACAAAAGCAAUAAGCACUCAAUG
rnacentral:lncRNA from 1 species